rnacentral:rRNA from 1 species
CACGUAGGGGGCGAGCGUUGUUCGGAAUCAUUGGGCGUAAAGGGCGUGCAGGCGGUCCUGCAAGUCCGGCGUGAAAGACCCCGGCCCAACCGGGGGGGCGCGCUGGAAACUGGAGGGCUUGAGUACAGGAGGGGAUGCCGGAAUUCCAGGUGUAGGGGUGAAAUCUGUAGAUAUCUGGAAGAACACCAAUGGCGAAGGCAGGCAUCUGGCCAUGUACUGACGCUGAGACGCGAAGGUGCGGGGAGCAAACAGGUUUAGAUACC